UGCGAUAGCUCAGUUGGUAGAGCAUGAGACUUUUAACCCCAGGGCCGUGGGUUCAAGCCCCACAUUGGGCAA